UACGGAGGAUGCGAGCGUUAUCCGGAUUUAUUGGGUUUAAAGGGUGCGCAGGCGGAAGAUUAAGCCGGCGGUAAAAAUUCCGGGCUCAACCCGGUCGAGCCGUCGGAACUGGUUUUCUAGAGUGGGCGAGAAGUAUGCGGAAUGCGUGGUGUAGCGGUGAAAUGCAUAGAUAUCACGCAGAACGCCGAUUGCGAAGGCAGCAUACCGGCGCCCUACUGACGCUGAGGCACGAAAGCGUGGGGAUCGAACAGG
rnacentral:rRNA from 1 species